GAAGGUGUAUAUAGUCUAGCCUGCUCACUGACAUCAAUGUUAAAUAGCCGCGGUAUUUUGACCGUGCAAAGGUAGCAUAAUCAUUAGUUUUUUAAUUGGAAACUGGUAUGAAUGGUUGGACAAAGAAAAAUCUGUCUCUUUUAUUAAAAUUGAAUUUAACUUUUAAGUGAAAAGGCUUAAAUCUUCUAGGGGGACGAUAAGACCCUAUAAAGCUUUAUAAGUUUGAUGAUUUUAAGGAUUUAAUAGAUAAAUAUGAUUCUAAAAAGUUUAUUUUGUUGGGGCGACAAAGGUAUAAUGAGAAUAACUGCUAAAAUGUUUUACAGUAAUUUUUGGUUAGAGAGUAAAUGAUCCCUUUUAAGGAUUAAAAGAUCAAGUUACUUUAGGGAUAACAGCGUAAUCUUUUUUGAGAGUACUUAUCAAAAAAAAGGUUUGCGACCUCGAUGUUGAAUUAAAAUGUCUCUGUGGUGCAGCAGCUACAGAAGAAGGUCUGUUCGACCUUUAAUUUUUUACAUGAUUU
rnacentral:rRNA from 1 species